GGAAAUGGGGCCAUAGCUCAGUGGGAGAGCAUCUGCUUUGUAUGCAGAAGGUCCCAGGUUCAAUCCCUGGCAUCUCCA